AUUGGAGGGCAAGUCUGGUGCCAGCAGCCGCGGUAAUUCCAGCUCCAAUAGCGUAUAUUAAAGUUGUUGUGGUUAAAAAGCUCGUAGUUGAACCUUGGGCCUGGCUGGCCGGUCCGCCUCUCCGCGUGCACUGGUCCGGCCGGGCCUUUCCCUCUGUGGAACCCCAUGCCCUUCACUGGGUGUGGCGGGGAAGCAGGACUUUUACUUUGAAAAAAUUAGAGUGCUCCAGGCAGGCCUAUGCUCGGAUACAUUAGCAUGGAAUAAUAGAAUAGGACGCGCGGUUCUAUUUUGUUGGUUUCUAGGACCGCCGUAAUGAUUAAUAGGGACAGUCGGGGGCAUCAGUAUUCAAUUGUCAGAGGUGAAAUUCUUGGAUUUAUUGAAGACUAACUACUGCGAAAGCAUUUGCCAAGGAUGUUUUCAUUAAUCAGGAACGAAAGUUAGGGGAUCGAAAACGAUCAGAUACCGUUGUAGUCUUAACCAUAAACUAUGCCGACUAGGGAUCGG
rnacentral:rRNA from 1 species